UACGUAGGGUGCAAGCGUUGUCCGGAAUUAUUGGGCGUAAAGGGCUCGUAGGCGGUUUGUCGCGUCGGGAGUGAAAACCAGGUGCUUAACACCUGGCUUGCUUUCGAUACGGGCAGACUAGAGGUAUUCAGGGGAGAACGGAAUUCCUGGUGUAGCGGUGAAAUGCGCAGAUAUCAGGAGGAACACCGGUGGCGAAGGCGGUUCUCUGGGAAUAUCCUGACGCUGAGGAGCGAAAGUGUGGGGAGCGAACAGG
rnacentral:rRNA from 1 species